AGAGUUUGAUCAUGGCUCAGAACGAACGCUGGCGGCGUGGAUAAGACAUGCAAGUCGAGCGCUGAUUACAGGGUAGCAAUAUUCUGUGGUCGGAGCGGCGCAAGGGUGCGUAACACGUGGGUAAUCUGCCAUGAAGUUUGGAAUAACUUGCUGAAAAGGCGAGCUAAUACCGGAUGUGACAAUUGGAUGGCAUCAUUUGAUUGUCAAAGCUGGGGACCGUAAGGCCUGGCGCUUCAUGAUGAGCCCGCGGCCUAUCAGCUAGUUGGUGAGGUAACGGCUCACCAAGGCUAAGACGGGUAGCUGGUCUGAGAGGACGACCAGCCACACUGGAACUGAGACACGGUCCAGACACCUACGGGUGGCAGCAGUCGAGAAUUUUUCACAAUGGGCGCAAGCCUGAUGGAGCGACGCCGCGUGGGGGAUGAAUGGCUUCGGCCCGUAAACCCCCGUCAUUUGCGAGCAAUUCGCAUUAUUUAAAAGAUGAUGCGUUGAUAGUAGCGAAAGAGGAAGGGACGGCUAACUCUGUGCCAGCAGCCGCGGUAAUACAGAGGUCCCGAGCGUUGUUCGGAUUCACUGGGCGUAAAGGGUGCGUAGGUGGCGAGGUAAGUCGGAUGUGAAAUCUCGGAGCUCAACUCCGAAAUGGCAUUGGAAACUACCUUGCUCGAGGGUUGGAGGGGGGACUGGAAUGCUUGGUGUAGCAGUGAAAUGCGUAGAUAUCAAGAGGAACACCAGUGGCGAAGGCGAGUCCCUGGACAACACCUGACACUGAGGCACGAAAGCCGGGGGAGCAAACAGGAUUAGAUACCCUAGUAGUCC
rnacentral:rRNA from 1 species